CUCCCCCUGCCAUGGGAAUUUUGUACAAGUUUCCGUACGACACGUGUGGUAGGAUCACCUGAGGAAGGAUCAUAAUAGAUUUGACGAUAGUUUAGAGACGGAUGGGUAGAGAGACACCGUAAUGUGACAGGCGGCGCUGGACUGAGGCGGGGAUACGGUUUUUUGUCAAUUUUUGUAGGUGAAUCUAGGAAGGAUCAUUAUAGUAGUAUUUUUCUAGCGGUUAAUUACGCGGUCAUACCGUCGUGGAACAAAUUAAACUAUCACGAACCUUCCGUAGGUGACCUGCGGAAGGAUCAUUACUGUGAUUUACUACUACCCUGCGUGAGCGGAACGAAAACAACAACACCUAAAAUGUGGAAUAUAGCAUAUAGUUGACAAGAGAAAUUUAAGAAAAAACAAACAAAACUUUCAACAACGGAUCUCUUGGUUCUCGCAUCGAUGAAGAGCGCAGCGAAAUGCGAUACCUAGUGUGAAUUGCAGCCAUCGUGAAUCAUCGAGUUCUUGAACGCACAUUGCGCCCCUCGGCAUUCCGGGGGGCAUGCCUGUUUGAGCGUCGUUUCCAUCUUGCGCGUGCGCAGAGUUGGGGGAGCGGAGCGGACGACGUGUAAAGAGCGUCGGAGCUGCGACUCGCCUGAAAGGGAGCGAAGCUGGCCGAGCGAACUAGACUUUUUUUCAGGGACGCUUGGCGGCCGAGAGCGAGUGUUGCGAGACAACAAAAAGCUCGACCUCAAAUCAGGU
rnacentral:rRNA from 1 species